AUUGAACGCUGGCGGCAUGCUUUACACAUGCAAGUCGAACGGUAACAGGCCGCAAGGUGCUGACGAGUGGCGAACGGGUGAGUAAUGCAUCGGAACGUGCCCAGUGGUGGGGGAUAACGCAGCGAAAGCUGCGCUAAUACCGCAUACGAUCUAUGGAUGAAAGCGGGGACCGUAAGGCCUCGCGCGAUUGGAGCGGCCGAUGUCAGAUUAGGUAGUUGGUGGGGUAAAGGCUCACCAAGCCGACGAUCUGUAGCUGGUCUGAGAGGACGACCAGCCACACUGGGACUGAGACACGGCACAGACUCCUACGGGAGGCAGCAGUGGGGAAUUUUGGAAGAUGGGCGCAAGACUGAUCCAGCAAUGCCGCGUGCAGGAAGAAGGCCUUCGGGUUGUAAACUGCUUUUGUACGGAACGAAACGGCUCUGGUUAAUACCUGGGGCUAAUGACGGUACCGUAAGAAUAAGCACCGGCUAACUACGUGCCAGCCGCCGCCGUAACAC
rnacentral:rRNA from 1 species